UACAGAAGGGGCAAGCGUUGUUCGGAAUUACUGGGCGUAAAGGGCGCGUAGGUGGCCUGCUAAGUCGAACGUGAAAUCCCCGGGCUCAACCCGGGAACUGCGUCCGAUACUGGCAGGCUUGAAUCCGGGAGAGGGAUGCGGAAUUCCAGGUGUAGCGGUGAAAUGCGUAGAUAUCUGGAGGAACACCGGUGGCGAAGGCGGCAUCCUGGACCGGCAUUGACGCUGAGGCGCGCAAGCUAGGGGAGCGAACGGG
rnacentral:rRNA from 1 species